GAUUCGGAAGGUCAUCCAAGUAGGAUAGCGAGGGAACCUUGUCUAAGGGUGUACCGCGAAAUAGUAUUAGGCCCGCUAUGAGAAAUCCUGUUUGUCGGAGUUCGAAUUAGUUAAAUAAAAGACAAAAUAAGCAUGUAGUACCGAUGGUUGACGUGUUCUGGACGCGGGUUCGAGUCCCGCCAGCUCCACCA
rnacentral:tmRNA from 1 species